UGCCUUUCGGGGAGCACAGAGACAGGUGCUGCAUGGCUGUCGUCAGCUCGUGUCGUGAGAUGUUUUGGUUAAGUCCAGCAACGAGCGCAACCCUUAUCGUUAGUUGCCAGCAUUUAAAGAUGGGAACUCUAACGAGACUGCCCGGGUCAACCGGGAGGAAGGUGGGGAUGACGUCAAGUCCUCAUGGCCCUUAUAUCCAGGGCUACACACGUGCUACAAUGGUGGGUACAAAGGGCAGCGACUCCGCAAGGGGAAGCCAAUCCCAAAAGCCUAUCUCAGUCCGGAUUGGGGUCUGCAACUCGACCCCAUGAAGUUGGAAUCGCUAGUAAUCGCGGAUCAGCAUGCCGCGGUGAAUAUGUUCCCGGGCCUU
rnacentral:rRNA from 1 species